rnacentral:lncRNA from 1 species
CAGGGAUUUCUGCUAUUUCUGCCUUUUCUCUUCGAAUUUCCCAAAUGAUUGGCUACGAGCAAGUUUUCCUCAGGUCCACGUUACAGUCCAACACAGUGAGCACAUCCAGGAAGUCCCAACAGUAGAAUUUCUGAGGGAGGGGACACAUCAUACCCAUUGCUAAGAGCAGAGAGAAAAUGAAUGGAUGCCUGCAAAUCUACUGAGUUGGCUUGUUCCUCUUCUGAAGACAGAACUUGGAUCCACUGGACUGGAUGAAACUAUAAUGCAAAAGAGCCCCUGGAGCACCCUGCUCGGGUAUUUCCUUUUGUGAGCCAAAGCAGAAGGAGAAGGUACAGCCACACCUCCGUCAGUAGGAGCCAGGAAUGAACAAGGGCAUCAAGCAGGAAGCAAACAGAAUUUCCAAUUAUGUUUACUUGCAAAGGCAUCUGGGCCCUGCACUUUAAACAUCAAUGAAGGAGCCUUGCUUUGUCUGUGGGCCCAGGAGAGGG